UACGUAGGGUGCAAGCGUUAAUCGGAAUUACUGGGCGUAAAGCGUGCGCAGGCGGUUCGCUAAGACAGAUGUGAAAUCCCCGGGCUUAACCUGGGAACUGCAUUUGUGACUGCAUCGCUGGAGUGCGGCAGAGGGGGAUGGAAUUCCGCGUGUAGCAGUGAAAUGCGUAGAUAUGCGGAGGAACACCGAUGGCGAAGGCAAUCCCCUGGGCCUGCACUGACGCUCAUGCACGAAAGCGUGGGGAGCAAACAGG
rnacentral:rRNA from 1 species